UGAAGCUGGAUUCGCUAGUAAUCGCGCAUCAGCCACGGCGCGGUGAAUACGUUCCCGGGCCUUGUACACACCGCCCGUCAAGCCAUGGAAGCCGGGAGUGCCUGAAGUACGCGACCGCAAGGAGCGUCCUAAGGUAAAACCGGUGACUGGGGCUAAGUCGUAACAAGGUAUC
rnacentral:rRNA from 1 species